rnacentral:misc_RNA from 1 species
AGAAGGCUCCCUGCCCCACCACCACCACCCCCGCACGGUAGCGCCCAGGCAACCGCGCGUUGGACCCCCUCUCUCUUAUCCCUCUCUCUGCAGUGUCUCUGUGUGUGCCUCGUUGUGCUCUCACUCAGUGCAGCCUCUUGUGUAUAUCGCCCCAAACACCCAAGCACGAGAGGGAUCCCUUUCAGGCACCAGCAGUGCUUCUUGAACUUGUGCGUCCUUGUGUCCCCACCUCCUCCCUCCGUGUUCUUCCGGUGACUGUAAUGGCCGCUGUUCACCACGUUCUACCGAGCAGUGUGCGACCGACGCACUACCACAUCGCCCUCUCUCCAGAUCUCGAAAACGCCACCUUCUCGGCUGAGGUGGCCAUCGACGUGCACAUCCAUGAGCCCACAAGCACCUUCGUGCUGAAUGCCGUGGGAUUAACGUUUUCUGACGUCUCAGUGCGCGCCGGCGUGGGCGACGGCGUUAAGGAUGCUCCGCUGACUGUGCAGAGCAUCACGGAGUCGACGGAGGAUCAGCGCAUAUCUGUGCAGGUUGAUCGGGCAGUCACUGAUGCCGCUCAGCUGCGGUUUCGCUACACGGCGGCCAUCAGCGACAAUCUCUUCGCUUUCUACCGCAGCCACUACAUGUACGAGGGCGCCACAUCGUACGUGGGGGCGACUCAGAUGUGCCCUGCGGAGGCCCGCCGUGUCUUCCCCUGCUGGGAUGAGCCCUCUGUGAAAGCAACAUUUGCCCUGGACAUAACCGUCCGUGCGAAGCUGCAGGUGUGGAGCAACGACGUUCCGCGCAAGGUGGUGCAGCUGCCAGACGGCUUCGCACGUUGGGAAUUCCGCCCUGCCAUGGUCAUGUCCACCUACGUCGUCGCCUGGGUGAUUGGGGAGCUUGAGACGACGGAGGUGGUGGUGCCACGGAGCGCUGCCGCAGGGGUUGGCCAAAGUGGCGAACUGGCAUUGCCCUCCUCCGUCGUCAUCCGUGCGGUCACCCCACGCGGCAAGGUUGAGCAGGCGCGAUUCGCGCUGACGGUGGCCGCGCAAGUGCUGCCGCUCUACGAGGAGUGCUUCCAGUUCCCGUAUGUCUUCCCAAAACUGGACCUCAUCGCACUGCCCAACUUUGCCUUUGGGGCUAUGGAGAACUGGGGCUGCAUCACGUUCCGCGAGCAGACACUACUGGCCUCGGAGGAGGCGAGCGCCAUGCAGAAAGAGCGGGUCGCGAUGGUGGUGGCGCAUGAGCUGGCCCAUCAGUGGUUCGGCAACUUGGCGACUAUGGCCUGGUGGACCGACCUGUGGCUGAACGAGUCCUUCGCCACCUACAUGGCCACGUGGGCGGUGAACAAGAUCUUUCCCGAGUGGGUGGUGGACACGCAGUUCGUGCACGACGAGGGAAGCCGGGCGUUCCAGCUGGACGCUAUGCGCUCCUCGCACCCCAUCGAGUUGCCGGUGCGGGAUGUGCGAGAGGUGGACAGCAUUUUCGAUGCCAUCAGCUACUCCAAGGGAGCCAUGGUGCUGCGCAUGGCGGCCAAGUUCGUUGGCGAUAAAGGAUUUCAGCGCGGCCUGGUCGACUAUCUUUCUCGCUACGCCUACGCGUCGGCUACAUCGCUGCAGCUGUGGGAGGCCCUCUCCGGCCCUGCAGCGCCGAAUUUAAAAGAGGUCCUUCACAGCUGGACGAGAGAGCAGGGGUACCCGUAUGUGCUGGCCGCACACGACGCAGCAACCGGUAAACUGGCGCUGUCGCAGCGGCGCUUCUUCGUCCUGAGCGACGUGGCGGUAGACGACGACGCUCCACUGUGGAGGAUUCCCAUUUUUUACACAUACGGGACCGCGGGUGGGGAGGUCAAGACCCGGUCCGUCGUGCUUGCAGACCCCACCAUGUCCGUCUCGAUUGACGGCGCGGUGUGGGUGAAGGUGAACUCGAACCAGAUCGCCUUUUGCCGUGUUCAGUACACGGCAGAGAUGCUGCGCGGGCUCGUGGGUCCGCUUACCGCGAAGAUCAUCAAUUCCACGGACCGCUACUCCAUCCUCGCGGACUACGCGGCCUUCGCGCGCGGAGGCUACUGCGACACGGUGCAGGUCAUUGAUUUUCUCUCUCAUUACCAUAGCGAGGACGACUAUACGGUGUGGUGCGAGGUGGCCCAGUUCGAGAAGGACCUGCGCAGCAUCCUCGCCGGCAGCUCACCGGAGGUGCGCGCCGCAUUCAACGACUUCUGCAAUCGUCUCUACUCCCCGGCGAUGCAGCGGCUCGGCUUGCAGCCACGCCGGGGAGACGGUCACCGCACCCAGCAAGCGCGCCUCCUAAUCUUCUCUCGGCUGCUCUCGUGCAGCAACGUCGAGGCCACGACGGUGGCACGCGACCUGUACGACAAGCGCACCACGAGCGCCAUUUCGCCUGACAUGCUUGGUUACGUGUACGCUGUACAUAUCAACACCCACGGCGCGGCGGCGAUGGCCGAGGUGCAGGAACUCAUCGCCAAAACCACAUACGCGGAGGAACGGGCGCAGUACCUUGGCGCACUCGCGGCGGUGGCGGAGCCGUCCAUUGACGUGCCGAAGCUGAUGGACUAUCUUCUCUCGGAUGCGGUGAACAGUCAGGACAUGUUCACGGUGAUGCUCGGCUUGGCGGAGGGCGCACAGACGCAGAUCAUCUUCGUUCAGCAGCUGAUGGACAAGUGGCGACGCCUGGCUCAGAAGGCGCCAUCCGUGCUGCUGGCGAGGAUGCUGAAGCUGGUUGAGCACAGCAGCGACGAGGCGCUGGUGGCGCCACUGCGCUGCUUCUUCGACGGCUUGCCUGAAGAAAUGCAGUCUCGCACUCGCAUGUCCUUCGAGCAGGGCUUGGAGGGCCUUCUGUGCAACGCGGCAUGGGCCGCUCGCGAUGGUGCCCGCAUUGCCCACUAUCUACUGCACAAGGGAGCCCCUUGAAGACAGAGUAAGCGCUGGUACGUGUAGGGUGUGAGUGAUGGGGGUGCAAAAUAGAGGAACGCAAGGAGCAGGGGCAAGCUGUGGAGAGCAUGGCGCUGCUUUGGAGGGCCGCUGUCCUCGGUGCUGCAGCGCAUGCUGUCAUCUGCCGCUUUCUCCCUUCCCCUUCCCUCUUCCUUAGGGUACCUCCCUACUGCUCUCGCCUUUACCCCGGGUGUGAGCGUCGUGCCGUUGCACGUGGCACCCCGGGCGCUAUUUUUCUCCUUCUAUUUGUUGUUCCUCCCCUCGCAGCUCGACCUACCCGCAUGGGACAUGCGUGCUCUUCAGCGCUGUACUGGCCUUUUGACGGCGAUCGUG